rnacentral:rRNA from 1 species
AUUGAACGCUGGCGGCAGGCCUAACACAUGCAAGUCGAGCGAGCGGCGGACGGGGGAGUAAUGUAUGGGGACUGCCCGAUAGAGGGGGAUAACUACUGGAAACGGUAGCUAAUACCGCAUACUAUCGGAUAACCCAUAUGGGAUUAGCUAGUAGGUGAGGUGAUGGCUCACCUAGGCGACGAUCCCUAGCUGGUCUGAGAGGAUGUUCAGCCACGCUGUGCCUAGGACGCGGCCCGGACUCCUACGGGGGCAGCAGUGGGAGAUGUUGCACAGUGGGAGCAAGCCUGAUGCAGCCAUGCCGCGUGAAUGAAGGAGGCCCUGGGGUUGUGAAAUACUUUCAGUCGGGAGGCGUUACCGAAGGAAGAAGCACCGGCUAACUCCGUGCCAGCAGCCGCGGUAAUUC